AAGCAGCGGAGCAUGUGGUUUAAUUCGAAGCAACGCGAAGAACCUUACCUAGACUUGACAUCUCCUGAAUUACCCCGUAACUGGGGAAGCUCUUCGGAGCAGGAAGACAGGUGGUGCAUGGUUGUCGUCAGCUCGUGUCGUGAGAUGUUGGGUUAAGUCCCGCAACGAGCGCAACCCUUAUCGUUAGUUGCUACCAUUAGGUUGAGCACUCUAGCGAGACUGCCGGGUUAACCGGGAGGAAGGUGGGGAUGACGUCAAAUCAUCAUGCCCCUUAUGUCUAGGGCUACACACGUGCUACAAUGGUUGGUACAACGAGUUGCGAGUCGGUGACGGCGAGCUAAUCUCUUAAAGCCAAUCUCAGUUCGGAUUGUAGGCUGCAACUCGCCUACAUGAAGUCGGAAUCGCUAGUAAUCGCGGAUCAGCACGCCGCGGUGAAUACGUUCCCGGGCCUU
rnacentral:rRNA from 1 species